GAUUGAACGCUGGCGGAAUGCUUUACACAUGCAAGUCGAACGGCAGCCCGGGGGCAGCCCUGGUGGCGAGUGGCGAACGGGUGAGUAAUACAUCGGAACGUGCCCGGUCGUGGGGGAUAACGUAGCGAAAGUUACGCUAAUACCGCAUACGAUCUGAGGAUGAAAGCGGGGGACCUUCGGGCCUCGCGCGAUCGGAGCGGCCGAUGUCAGAUUAGGUAGUUGGUGGGGUAAAGGCCUACCAAGCCGACGAUCUGUAGCUGGUCUGAGAGGACGACCAGCCACACUGGGACUGAGACACGGCCCAGACUCCUACGGGAGGCAGCAGUGGGGAAUUUUGGACAAUGGGCGCAAGCCUGAUCCAGCCAUUCCGCGUGCAGGACGAAGGCCUUCGGGUUGUAAACUGCUUUUGUACGGAACGAAAAGGCUCUGGCUAAUACCUGGGGCUCAUGACGGUACCGUAAGAAUAAGCACCGGCUAACUACGUG
rnacentral:rRNA from 1 species